rnacentral:rRNA from 1 species
UACGUAGGGGGCGAGCGUUGUCCGGAUUUAUUGGGCGUAAAGAGCUCGUAGGCGGUUUGGCAAGUCGGGUGUGAAAACUCCGGGCUCAACUCGGAGACGCCACUCGAUACUGCCAUGACUCGAGUCCGGUAGGGGAGUGCGGAAUUCCUGGUGUAGCGGUGAAAUGCGCAGAUAUCUGGAGGAAUACCGGUGGCGAAGGCGGCAUCCUGGACCGACAUUGACGCUGAUGAGCGAAAGCUAGGGGAGCAAACGGG